GGUGGUUCUCGGGUGACGCACCCCAGAAUCGGGCUCCCUCCUCUCUGGUUCUGGGUGUAUCACCCAAGAACAGCA
rfam:Myotis lucifugus cont2.4624, whole genome shotgun sequence.